rnacentral:rRNA from 1 species
AUGAGCAGGACGGCGGCGGCCUCGUGGCGGCGUGGCCCGUCCGCGAAGGGACGCGUGGAGCCGGAGGCCGCUGGCAUUCCUCGGACGCUGCAGCUCGGCGCCAUGAUCCUCGUUUUGUGCCUCCUGAAUAUCUACUUCAAUAUUUACAACAAGCCGGUUCAGAGAGUAUUUCCCUUCCCAUACACCAUCACCACCUUCCACUUCGCAUUCGGCUCCUUCUUCAUCACUCUCAUGUGGCUGCUAAACCUUCAUCCCAAGCCAAGGCUCUCCCUUCAACAGUACGCAAAGAUCCUUCCUUUGGCGUUAAUACACAUGACGGCCAUUGUCUUCGCCAACAUGAGUUUGGGCAAGGUGGCGGUCUCCUUCACGCACACCAUCAAGGCAGGGAACGCCGUUCCACUCUCCGUCUUGCUGCUCAGGCAGACACCUUCUCUACUUGUAUUAGGUUCUCUCGUGUCAGUUGUUGGUGGAGUUGUACUGGCAUCUAUGACUGAAAUUUCAUUCAACUGGUUAGUUGCAAUGUUUGCCAUCUCUUAA